rnacentral:piRNA from 1 species
UAUCACGUGGCUGUGAUCCA